AGUUUUGUGUGAAUUGGUUUGUAAAAAUAAUUUUGUAGCCGUUGAUAUUAUGUGAUUGAGUUUUGUGUAACCCUGGCAAGUAGCUUUAGAAACCUAAUAAACAUUAAGCCAGGGUAGGAGAGUAAGAAGACUAACCAGUUUGGGGAUAGCAUACAAUAGGACAGGUAGAAGAUUUAUGAUUUUGCUCGUGAACUAGGGAAUGUAUUACAAGGGUCCGUAGUUUGGCGAAGGUCCACUGUUUCUUGGAGACUUUGCGAAGGGCCACUGUUUCUUGGAGACUUUGUUAUGAAUUGCUUGUGUAUAAAAGGAAAACACCCAUGUGUGAAUUUUGGGGUUCUGUUUUUGGGGACGCUAGUCCGCAGGCCCCCGGGCCCUUCAAUAAAGCGCCGCACAAAACUUAUCCGAGUUUUGUGUCCUUUAUCAUUCGGGCAACAGUUUUCUGGCGACCGCGGCAGGACUCCGAGGGUCGCUGGGGCGGUUCGCGUCUCGAUCCACUCCAAGCCGGCGCCGAGCACUUCUCGGAGGAGUCAUCGGGUCGUGCCCGACCCCCCGCGCCUGUCGGACGACUGCAGAAGAAAUACGUUACAGUGGAAUAAACCGCUCACGCUGGAGAACUCUGUCCACGACAUCCAGCCUGGGGACCAAGUGUACAUCAAGAAGUGGAUUACGGAUCCGCUACGGGAAUCAUGGAGCGGACCCCACCAGGUGAUGAUGACGACCUACACGGCGGUGAAGGUCCAGGGGAUGGACGCUUGGAUCCAUUACACCAGGCCAGAAAGUUGAGGCCAGUGAAGUUAUUGCAAUAUGGCAACGGGGGGCUGAAAGAAGCCGAGGCAAGACAGAAGUCGGUUGGGAUCAGGAUAAACAACAAGGAAACACGGUACUGAAUCUUACUAAGGCUGCAGGUGAACCAAUUCCCUGGGGAAUAAUACCGGUAACCAAAAUGCCUGAAUCAUUCAAGAAUGUUUCAUGGUCCUGCCAGUCAGUUCCUAAACAAGUAGAGGUGUGAUUGAAAAGGAAAGGAAGCGAUCUAUCCGGUUGCUGAAGGUGAUGACCCGUGGGCGGCAGAACGAAGAACAUCCCCCACCUUGCUAUGAAGAUGUUACUGUCAAUACCGUUGGUUGAGCAUCCUUGCAGCAGGACUGAAGGAUGCUCAAAAGGGGGGAAAUGUUGGAAAAGAAAUGAAAUUUGGCAAAAUGUUUUAUUAUAGUUUAGUUGUGAGUUUUGUGUGAAUUGGUUUGUAAAAAUAAUUUUGUAGCCGUUGAUAUUAUGUGAUUGAGUUUUGUGUAACCCUGGCAAGUAGCUUUAGAAACCUAAUAAACAUUAAGCCAGGGUAGGAGAGUAAGAAGACUAACCGGUUUGGGGAUAGCAUACAAUAGGACAGGUAGAAGAUUUAUGAUUUUGCUCGUGAACUAGGGAAUGUAUUACAAGGGUCCGUAGUUUGGCGAAGGUCCACUGUUUCUUGGAGACUUUGCGAAGGGCCACUGUUUCUUGGAGACUUUGUUAUGAAUUGCUUGUGUAUAAAAGGAAAACACCCAUGUGUGAAUUUUGGGGUUCUGUUUUUGGGGACGCUAGUCCGCAGGCCCCCGGGCCCUUCAAUAAAGCGCCGCACAAAACUUA